GAUUCAACUUAAAACGAGUGGCGGACGGGUGAGUAACACGUGGGUAACCUGCCCUUAAGUGGGGGAUAACAUUUGGAAACAGAUGCUAAUACCGCAUAAAUCCAAGAACCGCAUGGUUCUUGGCUGAAAGAUGGCGUAAGCUAUCGCUUUUGGAUGGACCCGCGGCGUAUUAGCUAGUUGGUGAGGUAACGGCUCACCAAGGCGAUGAUACGUAGCCGAACUGAGAGGUUGAUCGGCCACAUUGGGACUGAGACACGGCCCAAACUCCUACGGGAGGCAGCAGUAGGGAAUCUUCCACAAUGGACGCAAGUCUGAUGGAGCAACGCCGCGUGAGUGAAGAAGGCUUUCGGGUCGUAAAACUCUGUUGUUGGAGAAGAAUGGUCGGCAGAGUAACUGUUGUCGGCGUGACGGUAUCCAACCAGAAAGCCACGGCUAACUACGUGCCAGCAGCCGCGGUAAUACGUAGGUGGCAAGCGUUAUCCGGAUUUAUUGGGCGUAAAGCGAGCGCAGGCGGUUUUUUAAGUCUGAUGUGAAAGCCCUCGGCUUAACCGAGGAAGCGCAUCGGAAACUGGGAAACUUGAGUGCAGAAGAGGACAGUGGAACUCCAUGUGUAGCGGUGAAAUGCGUAGAUAUAUGGAAGAACACCAGUGGCGAAGGCGGCUGUCUGGUCUGUAACUGACGCUGAGGCUCGAAAGCAUGGGUAGCGAACAGGAUUAGAUACCCUGGUAGUCCAUGCCGUAAACGAUGAAUGCUAGGUGUUGGAGGGUUUCCGCCCUUCAGUGCCGCAGCUAACGCAU
rnacentral:rRNA from 1 species